rnacentral:rRNA from 1 species
UACAGAGGUCUCAAGCGUUGUUCGGAUUCAUUGGGCGUAAAGGGUGUGUAGGUGGCGCCGUAAGUCGGGUGUGAAAUUUCGGAGCUUAACUCCGAAACUGCAUUCGAUACUGCGGUGCUUGAGGACUGGAGAGGAGACUGGAAUUCAUGGUGUAGCAGUGAAAUGCGUAGAGAUCAUGAGGAAGACCAGUGGCGAAGGCGGGUCUCUGGGCCAGUACUGACGCUGAGGAGCGAAAGCGUGGGGAGCAAACAGG